CCUACGGGGCGCAGCAGUGGGGGAUAUUGGACAAUGGGGGAAACCCUGAUCCAGCGACGCCGCGUGAGUGAAGAAGUAUUUCGGUAUGUAAAGCUCUGUCAGCAGGGAAGAAAGAAAUGACGGUACCUGACCAAGAAGCCCCGGCUAACUACGUGCCAGCAGCCGCGGUAAUACGUAGGGGGCAAGCGUUAUCCGGAUUUAUUGGGUGUAAAGGGUGCGUAGACGGGAAAUUAAGUUAGUUGUGAAAUCCCUCGGCUCAACUGAGGAACUGCAACUAAAACUGGUUUUCUUGAGUGUUGGAGAGG
rnacentral:rRNA from 1 species